ACGUUAGCGGCGGACGGGUGAGUAACACGUGGGUAACCUACCUAUAAGACUGGGAUAACUCCGGGAAACCGGGGCUAAUACCGGAUAAUACAUGAAACCGCAUGGUUUCAUGAUGAAAGACGGUUUUGCUGUCACUUAUAGAUGGACCCGCGGCGUAUUAGCUAGUUGGUAAGGUAACGGCUUACCAAGGCAACGAUACGUAGCCGACCUGAGAGGGUGAUCGGCCACACUGGAACUGAGACACGGUCCAGACUCCUACGGGAGGCAGCAGAC
rnacentral:rRNA from 1 species